UUCUUUGAAAGUGAGAAUCUUGAUGAUGCUGCAUCGGCAAUAAACGACUUAUAAAGGACUACUGAAAAGUAUUAAUCCACAUCUCACCAGUGCCACUUUGCACUUCUGUAUUCAACAAGAUGAUUCCAUCUACUUUCCUUUCUGUUGCUGUCAGGGAACGAUAAGAUCUUGUUGCAGGCUAUUGAAGAUACAUAUAGCUAGCUCCUUAUUCAUGAGUUGACUUUGCAGAUCUAUCAUUUUCUUCUGAGCACACUAUACUCUGAUGGAAAAUAGAAGGCACUUUGUUAAUAACCAGAGAGAUAAAAGAUUCUUGGUGAAGCUGCAUGUCAAAGCAUAAGCAAAAGGAGUGCCAGAAAGGGAGAAGAACAAUUUUCUGCUUACAAGAUCCACUGAAGUGCAGAAGAAGUUCAGAACAAGAGGUGAGAUAAAUGGUUAAGUUUUCUUUUUCUGUUUGUGUUUCAGGUUUUUUGGUUUUUCUUUAUGGGGUUUGAUGAUAUCAGCUAUAUGAGUUGGUUACUGAAAAUUAAUUGGGGUUCCCACCACCUUUGUCUUCACUAGAAGUUAUUCAAAAUAAAAAUUGAUUAUUUUAUGGACAUCCUUCGUCUGUGGAUAGAGUAGAUCUUUGAAAGUUGAAACUGCUCUGAGAACUUUAGUACCAUAUGCAAAGCUUAUGGUGGAGACAUGUCACAUUGCACAGCCAUUGUUAUUGGCUUUACCAUUAAAAACCUAUCAAACUCCUUUGUGGACCAAACCUCCAGUCACCUUCUUGUAGCUUGGACCCCGUAUAUUUACUCUCACUUUUGCUUCUCUCUCUUGCAGACAAUUUUCUGUGCACAUAUUUUUCACCUCUACUUCAAUAAGAGAAACCCCAAAUCUUUCUCAAAAUAACUUCUUAUUCAUUGAUCAAACUGCUCAUUCACUACCCAUUUUCAGUUUGUGGAGAUCUGUGUGCCCCUGUCACUAUUCACUGUCCUCUAUGCCCAAAACAAUUCUCCAUUAAUCCUUUAGACACCGGAGUUUAGUGUAAUGUUUAGGUAACAUAUAUAAUUAAUCAUAAUGAGGAUUUGUGUAAUUCCUUAAUUUGAUUUGUGGAUCAUCCUUUGUUUUAGAAUCUUUCAGUUUUCUUGUUUGACAAAUUGUUUGUAGUUGUAUGUGAGUUGUUUGGUUAGGCAGAUAUAUAUAUUGUGGCAACAUGCAAAUAGGUCUUUUGUUUGGAGUUUUUGUGUAGUCUGAUAUUACAACUUAAAAGAGUUUUGUAGGUAAAUUGAACUUGCUUCUCCUCUAAUCGCAUUCAUGUGUUGAACCAUUUCUAUCUAGCUAGCAUUAUUGCUUAUAUGACUGCAAUUUUCCUCUGACAAUAUGCUAAAUUCCUCUGUGAAGUAUAAUGGACUGCAAUUGCAUAUUUCACGUCCAAAUUAAAGUUUGAGAUGAUCCCUAUUUGUUAAAAUAGAAAUAAAAAUACUGCUUAAACUAGCUAUUUUGCUGGGUGGUGGUUGUUUAAUUAUGUCUCAUACAAUCUUUUCAUAUAUUUGCUCCAAUUAUUAAUUAAUGACUAAUUACGUUUGUAUGUGUAAUCAAGAAUAAAACCAGAAACGUGUAGGAUUUAUAUAUACUUGCAUGCGUUAGUUUUCAUAGAUACAGUUUU